rnacentral:ncRNA from 1 species
UGAACUACUGUGAAAAGAAGGAGUAUAUAAAUAAGGGUUUGCAGAGAGAGAAGCAAUUGGUGAAAGCUUUUUAAUACCUGUUUAUAGAAGCAGUCUUGGAGUAAAUAUCUUGAACAUACAAAAGUAGAGGUAUUCGGGUGAUUUCGUUAACAAUCCUUAAGGUGAUAGGUUUUUUAUGCCUAUAACUAGGGUGGUACCGCGAGAAACCUCGUCCCUAUU